UCGGAUUGGGUAGAGCCUUAGGUAUGGAACCGCAAGAGGAAUAUCCUAGAAUCGUCUUUUCCUUCUGCUGUUUCAGUUUUUGAGCCCCAAAGUGACAAAAUACUAGGGAAUCGGUCUGGAUUAAAUCCUGGGGGUGAGAUCUGUUAAGUGUGCCACUGCCCUGUUUUAGUCUGCCCUGCAUAAAAUGUAGAGGGCCGUUUGUCAUCGAGAGUACUCUUUGGGUAAAAAGUAAGACUUUAACUUUUGAAAGACAUUCAAAAAGAUCAAUAUGUUUAGGUUUUCUAGCAUCCUUAAACGACCCUACUUAAAGUGGAGGUCCUUCAGGACUACGUGGAAAUAAUUUGAAUUUUGAGAACCUGUUGCAGGCAAUAUUCCGCAAGUAAAAUGAUAAAAGUCAAUGUAUAGCCGAAGAGUGACGGUGUAUACCAUAGGUAAUAUCACUGGAGCAGUUAACGGAAUGCAGCUGCCUCAGCUACUCGCCAUAGGAACCACCUGGAGUCUUGUUUAAAAUGCUGAUUUUAUUUAGUAGGCCCGAGAUUAUACUUACAACAAGCAGCCAAGUGAUAGAGAUUACUUCAUCAGAACCAUUUUCUGAGUUAGUAAACCCUCAGUACUUACCUCGUGCCCUACGGGACACCUCUGACUUUCUCCUCCCUGAACAGCCCAUUGUUCUCUCCUGGCUAACCAGUAGACACAAAGCAAAGAGCUAAGCAUGGGGGUGGGAGGAGAACCCCAGAUCUGAGUUCUUGCUUACGGCUUUCUAUUUAUGAUAGUGGUCUGGUUCCACAUAUUAUAGUUUUGUUUCUUCACCACCAAGUUAGAUGUAAUAAUGCCCGCCCUUUGUCACUGAGUUGCUGUGUUUUAAAUGUCAUAAUGUGAAAGGACACUGUAGGCUGUUACUGGUUAUAUCAAUGCUGUUUUAAGAUAGCGUACAAAUAAUGGGUUUCCCUGUGACAGUGUCAUGUAUAUGUCACACUUUGUUCUUGUUACCCCCUACACACACUGCUGCUCCUCCUUGCUAUCAGUCACAACUCAGCUAUUUAACUGGCCAGAGAGAAAUAUGAAACAUUUUGAAAUAUAUGUAUAUAUAAUAAAAUAGAUUAUAUCUAUGAAAAUUAUGUGCCGGGCAUGACACUUGUUUUCUUUUACAAAUGAAGAAACUGGGCACAGAUUGCUAUUACACCAAGGGGACAGAGCUAUUAAGUGGGAGAAGUGGAAUUUGAAUAAGCCAGGGUGCACAGAUUAGUGAGGAACCUAACUGGAACCUACCAACUAGAAACUCAACAUACAGGGAGGACAAUGAAGUAACCUUCAAAGAAACCAGUUCCUGUUGCCCUAAUCUAACAAGUUUCAACAAAGAAGUACACUGAAACUUUACUGCUAUGCAAUAAAGCACAGCAAACUGG
ensembl:antisense 4930539J05Rik RIKEN cDNA 4930539J05 gene